CAAGUACUGGUCUCAGCAGAUUAAGGAGAGCACCACAGUGGUCACCACACAGUCUGCAGAGGUUGGAGCUCC
rnacentral:pre_miRNA from 1 species